AUGUGGAGGAAUCCGGAAUACUUCACCCCGAACCCGUCCCUGCAGCAACAAGGGGCGGGCACGGACCUGAGCAUCGACGAGGACUUGUUCCAGCCGUGGAGCCCCUGGUGCAUAGAUCGGGGGGCGCAGGCGAGUGCGUGGAGGAGGACGACGGCGACGAUGGCGGCGGCGAGGAGCAGCGCUACUACCACCAGAUCGGCGAAGGGGCAAGAAGACAUAUACGAGCGUGUGUGGUCCUCUUCUUCUUCCCCGACGGCGGUCGUCGCCUCCGGCCGGCCUCCCUGA
rnacentral:rRNA from 1 species